rnacentral:rRNA from 1 species
GUUUAGUUGCUAACAGUUCGGCUGAGAACUCUAAACAGACUGCUACGCAAGUAGGAGGAAGGUGAGGACGACGUCAAGUCAUCAUGGCCCUUACGGCCAGGGCUACACACGUGCUACAAUGGGGUAUACAAAGAGCAGCGAUACGGUGACGUGGAGCAAAUCUAGAAAAUGCCUCUCAGUUCGGAUUGUAGUCUGCAACUCGACUACAUGAAGUUGGAAUCGCUAGUAAUCGUAGAUCAGCAAUGCUACGGUGAAUACGUUCCCGGGUCUU